rnacentral:rRNA from 1 species
UACGAAGGGUGCAAGCGUUACUCGGAAUUACUGGGCGUAAAGCGUGCGUAGGUGGUUCGUUAAGUCUGAUGUGAAAGCCCUGGGCUCAACCUGGGAAUGGCAUUGGAAACUGGCGACCUAGAGUGCGGUAGAGGGUAGUGGAAUUCCCGGUGUAGCAGUGAAAUGCGCAGAUAUCGGGAGGAACAUCAGCGGCGAAGGCGGCACUCUGGGCUGGAACUGACGCUGAGACGCGAAAGCGUGGGGAGCGAACAGG